GGCGCACGGGUGCGUAACGCGUAUGCAACUUACCCUUUACUGGGGGAUAGCCCGGGGAAACCCGGAUUAAUACCCCAUGGCAUCAUUGAAUCGCAUGAGGAUAUGAUUAAAGAUUUAUUGGUAGAGGAUGGGCAUGCGUCUGAUUAGCUAGUUGGUAGUGUAACGGACUACCAAGGCGACGAUCAGUAGGGGGUCUGAGAGGAUGAUCCCCCACACUGGCACUGAGAUACGGGCCAGACUCCUACGGGAGGCAGCAGUAGGGAAUAUUGGUCAAUGGGCGAGAGCCUGAACCAGCCACGCCGCGUGAAGGAUGAAGGCGUUCUGCGUUGUAAACUUCUUUUAUAGGGGAAGAAAAAGGUCCUGCGGGACAAACUGACGGUACCCUAUGAAUAAGCACCGGCUAACUCCGUGCCAGCAGCCGCGGUAAUACGGAGGGUGCAAGCGUUGUCCGGAUUUAUUGGGUUUAAAGGGUGCGUAGGCGGGUGAUUAAGUCAGUGGUGAAAGCCGGCAGCUCAACUGUCGAACUGCCAUUGAUACUGAUUGUCUUGAGUAUAGUUGAGGUAGGCGGAAUGGAAGGUGUAGCGGUGAAAUGCAUAGAUAUCUUCCAGAACACCGAUAGCGUAGGCAGCUUACUAAGCUAUAACUGACGCUGAGGCACGAAAGCGUGGGGAGCGAACAGGAUUAGAUACCCUGGUAGUCCACGCCGUAAACGAUGUACACUCGCUGUUGGCGAUAUUACAGUCAGCGGCCAAGCGAAAGCGUUAAGUGUACCACCUGGGGAGUACGCCGGCAACGGUGAAACUCAAAGGAAUUGACGG
rnacentral:rRNA from 1 species